UGAACCUGCGGAAGGAUCAUUCACACGUAUCCAUCUCAUCCACGUGAACUUUUUUGUGAGGUUUCUGGAGUGCUGUGAAAACGGCUUCCGGAUCCCUCGUGCGCGGCGAACGUUUCGGUUGAAAUAUAUCGUAGUUCGCCGCCAAUUCCAACCUUCAGUCCGUUGAAGAAAUCUUUCUGCGAGAGCAAUUUCGCAGUUUUACAAAAAAUCACAACUUCCAGCGAUGGAUGCCUCGGCUCGAGAAUCGAUGAAGGACGCAGCGAAAUGCGAUAAGCACUGUGAAUUGCAGAAUUCCGUGAAUCAAUAGAUUUUUGAACGCAUCCGGCGCUUCGGUUCUCCGAAGCAUAUCUGCUUCAGUGUCUAUUACGCACCGGCCACGGUUCCUUCUUGGAAUCUGGUGUUUGUGUGCGCUAGUGGUACCCAAGUACUGUUGGCGCAUCAAAAUUAUGAUCUCUCUUCGUCACUCAACAAUGUGCUCGCUCGCGUUGUGCUGUUGAUGUGGUGAUAUUGCGGAUCUGCUUCUGAGUGCUUAUGUACUCAAUCUAGACCUGAAGUCAGGUAAGGCUACCCGCUGAAUUUGAGCAUAUCAAUAAGCGGAGG
rnacentral:rRNA from 1 species